rnacentral:rRNA from 2 species
AACGCUGGCGGCGUGCGUAACACAUGCAAGUCGAACGAGAAUGUACUGACAGAUCCUUGGGGUGAAGAUAGUACAGGACAGUGGCGGAUGGGUGAGUAACGCGUAAGAAACCUGCCUUUCACACCGGGAUAGCAGCUGGAAACGGCUAUUAAUACCGGAUGGCACUUUUUCCCCGCAUGAGGAAGAGGUUAAAGAAUUUCGGUGAAAGAUGGUCUUGCGUCUGAUUAGCUAGUUGGUGGGGUAACGGCCUACCAAGGCGACGAUCAGUAGCCGGCCUGAGAGGGUGUACGGCCACAUUGGGACUGAGACACGGCCCAAACUCCUACGGGAGGCAGCAGUGGGGAAUUUUGCACAAUGGAGGAAACUCUGAUGCAGCGACGCCGCGUGAACGAAAAAGGUCUUCGGAUUGUAAAGUUCUGUCCUGGGUGAAGAUAAUGACGGUAACUCAGGAGGAAGCCCCGGCUAACUACGUGCCAGCCGCCGCGGUAA